GUAAUUAAAGUAAAAAUAUAUUUUUAAAAGAUAAUUUCAAAUUUCAGUGCAAACUAGCAUGGAUUCACCCCUUUUCUUUGUAACAUUUUUUCUAAGGUUGGAAAAGUAAGGUAGGCUUUAGUACGAUUUUUAAUAAUAAGUUUUCAAAGUGAGAUGCAAAAUGGUGGCGCCAACACAUUUCAAGUCUGCUACAUUUUGAAGACACUUAUUGGAGAAAAGACCUUCUCAUCAUUUUUCUCUUACAGGAAAGGAAAUAAUAUGUACAGUUGACCCUUAAGCAACACGGAGGUUGGGGUGCUGGCCCCACUGCACAAUAGAAAAUCCACUAUAACUUUGACUCCCCCAAAACUUAACUACUAAUAGCCUACUGUAAGCCUUACAAAUAACACAAGCAGUCAAUUAACACAUAUUUAAUAUGUUAUAUGUCUUAUAUACUGUAUUCUUAACAAACAUGCCAGAGAAAAGAAAAAGAAAAUCAUAAGGAAAAUAUAUUUACUAGUUAUUAAAUGGAAGUAGAUGAUCAGACAGGUCUUCAUCCUCAUCCUUUUCAUGGGCAGGCUGUGGAGAAGGAUGUAGAAUUGUUGGUUUUGCUAAGUGGACCUGCACAGUUCAAACCCCUGUGGUGUAAAGGCCACCUGUAUAGCCAUUGAAUAGCAAUUUAUUUUUAGAAAUUAACCUCACUAAAAUACUCUUAGAAGGAUGCCAAGAAAAAAAAUGAAUAAGUAUUUUUGGUUCAUCUAUUUCAUCAUUUCAUUUCAUUUCCUCAUUUCCUCAUUUCAUCUCAUUUCAUGUCAUCAUUUCAUCAUUUCAUUUCAUCAUUUCAUUUCAUCCUUUCAUCAUUUCAUCUCAUCAUUUCAUCCUUUCAUUUCAUUAUUUCAUUUCAUCAUUUCAUCUCAUCAUUUCAUCUCAUCAUUUCAUCAUUUCACUUCAUCUCAUCAUUUCAUCAUUUCAUCUUGAUUUCAUUUCAUCUCAUCAUUUCAUCUCAUGAUUUCAUCUCAUCAAUUCAUUUCACCUUUUCAUCUCCUCAUUUCAUUAUUUCAUUUCAUCUUUUCAUCUCGUCAUUCAUUUCAUUUCAUCAUUUCAAUUCAUUUCAUUUCCUCAUUUCAUUUCAUCAUUUCAUCAUUUCACUUCAUCAUUUCAUUCCAUCAUUUCAUAUCAUUUCUUCAUUUCACCAUUCCAUCAUUUCAUCAUUUCACUUCAUUUCAUUUCCUCAUUUCAUUCCAUUUCAUCAUUUCAUUUCAUUUCUUCAUUUCAUCAUUUCAUUUCAUCAUUUAAUUUCAUUUCAUCAUUUCAUCAUUUCAUUUCAUUUCAGUGAUACAUGUAUUUAAGUGCUAAUGCGAUGCCCAGGAGACAGCCUAUUUCCUUGUAAAACACCUCCUUCAACAAAAGGCAACCUCUCAUGGCUGGCUAAGUCUACAGGGAUACCAGCCUCUCUUCAACCACUCAAUUUCAUUUAGAACCUCAAACAGCACCUCAGUUUCAUAAAAACCUAAAACAUAAACACAACACUUGGUUGUAAGUGAGGCAACAGUUUCUUGUCUCUUUCUCUGCUCAAGGCUUAAGGCCAUGUCUCCCCAACUACGUUCAGUGGAAGAAAAGAUCCCCUGGACAAGUAAGUUUGAGAACUGUUGUUGCAGGACUUCUCAGAACCUUUAAAACACAAAUCCUCAUCUGCAGGGAUCUUCAGGAGGGAGAUGGCUGAUGCAGCACAACUUUCUUUCACAGGAGCAUCUUGCAGAAUACAGUAUGAGAUACAGAAAGGCUGCAUUGAGUCUUUUUAAGGGCCCGGGCCUUGGUGGGGGUGGGGUAGGAGCUCUCCAGAUAGCAUCUAAUGAGUAGGAACAUUCAGGUUGCUUUUUUUCCCCCUUAUUGGCAAAACUGUGUGUGCACCAUGAACGAAGCUGGUCUCCCUUAUCCAUAUCAAAACUAAACCCAAAUUAAUUGGCUAAAUUGGGACUCAACACCUCCAGGAGCCACGCAGAAGAAAGCCCCACCACACUUUAAAGUAGCUUACCUCAUCAUAUUUGACGAAAGCAAAACGCUUAUGACCAGUAUGCUGCUAAUACAAGUCUACAGAUAAUACUGUAGGAAAAAUUAUUUUUCCCAAUCAUAGCUGGCAUAGUCAACAUUUUGCAUUACACUUUCCCCCCUCUUUUAAAAUUUGAAACACAGGUCUUUUCCUCUUCUUUUAUUAAAUUUUAAUUUAAUUAUACAAGACAGAGUCUCAGUAUGUUGCCCAGGCUGGUCUUCAACUCCUGAGCUCAAGCGAUACAUCUGUCUCUGCCUCCCAAAGUGCUGAGAUUACAGGCCUGAGACACUGUGCCCGGCCUUAAACACAAAUCUUAUUUCAUUCUUACAAUUAUCCUGAGGUUAGAAAAAUGGAAGGGGAAGAAAAAUGGCAAGCAGGUAGGCUGACUUCGGCUUCAUUAUUUGGAAGGACAGUUUGCUCGGUUAAAACACACUACUGCCCACAAAAGCCAAGACAACAGAAAAAUACAGACUUAUAUAAAUAGGUUUUAUAUGUGACAGCAGUUUAAAUGGAGACUUUUUCAAUGAAAAUGACAAACAGCUGUGCUUGGGAAUAAAUGGCAACGAAUUUUUUAUCUCAAUAGCUGUCCUGAAAGCACGUCUCUACAUCUCUACCUGCAUUCUGGAAUCAGGGAGAAAGCCAAAAUGGACGACAAGACCCUAGAUCAGCCGUGUCCAACCCUUUGAGUACAAGGACUUUUCCGCCUAUCUGUGGUGGUGGGUAUCAUGAAAAUUAUGCACAAACCUUCUUUUUUUUUUUUUAAGCUCAUCAGCUAUCGUUAGCAUUAGUGUAUUUUAUGUGCGGCCCAGGAGCAUUCUUCUUCCAAUGUGGCCCUGAGAAGCCAAAAGACUGGACACCUGUGCACUAGAUCAAAAGGCUACU
rnacentral:lncRNA from 1 species